rnacentral:misc_RNA from 1 species
GAAAUGCGAUACGUAAUGUGAAUUGCAGAAUACAGUGAAUCAUCAAGACCUUGAACGCAAAUUGCACUCGAGUGGACAUCCCUCGAGUACACCUGUCCGAGUGUCAUUUCCAAUCACAUCACCUGCCCCCUUCUGUAGGUGUGCAUGGUGGAGUAUGGGUGUUGGGAGGGCAAACUCUCAUCUCCUCAAGUUCAGGGGCCAAGCUUCACAACCGCCCACAAACAAUGGUUUCUGAUCACCUUUCCGGUGCCAUCUCGACCAUCUGCUCUGUGGGAUCCGUUGGGACUGCCUUGCCAAGGAGGAGGGUGACCUUUACCGGUCUCCCCAUUUCAAUCUUCAACCUCGGAUCAGAUGAGAACACCCGCUGAAUUUAA